GCCACUGUAGCUCAGUGGUAAAGCACUUGCUUUGCAUGCACAAGGUCCCAGGUUCCAUCCCCACCAUCUCUAGGUAGGGCU